UACGGAGGGUGCAAGCGUUAUCCGGAUUCACUGGGUUUAAAGGGUGCGUAGGUGGGUUGGUAAGUCAGUGGUGAAAUCCCCGAGCUUAACUUGGGAACUGCCAUUGAUACUAUCAGUCUUGAAUACCGUGGAGGUCGGCGGAAUAUGUCAUGUAGCGGUGAAAUGCUUAGAUAUGACAUAGAACACCAAUUGCGAAGGCAGCUCACAAAACUGUAACUGACGCUGAGGCACGAAAGCGUGGGUAUCAAACAGG
rnacentral:rRNA from 1 species